rnacentral:rRNA from 1 species
GAUGAACGCUGGCGGCGUGCCUAAUACAUGCAAGUCGAGCGAACAGACGAGAAGCUUGCUUCUCUGAUGUUAGCGGCGGACGGGUGAGUAACACGUGGAUAACCUACCUAUAAGACUGGGAUAACUUCGGGAAACCGGAGCUAAUACCGGAUGAUAUUUUGAACCGCAUGGUUCAAUAGUGAAAGACGGUCUUGCUGUCACUUAUAGAUGGAUCCGCGCUGCAUUAGCUAGUUGGUAAGGUAACGGCUUACCAAGGCAACGAUGCGUAGCCGACCUGAGAGGGUGAUCGGCCACACUGGAACUGAGACACGGUCCAGACUCCUACGGGAGGCAGCAGUAGGGAAUCUUCCGCAAUGGGCGAAAGCCUGACGGAGCAACGCCGCGUGAGUGAUGAAGGUCUUCGGAUCGUAAAACUCUGUUAUUAGGGAAGAACAUAUGUGUAAGUAACUGUGCACAUCUUGACGGUACCUAAUCAGAAAGCCACGGCUAACUACGUG